rnacentral:lncRNA from 1 species
AACAAUCUGUUGUUGUAAAACCAGAAAAUUCUAAAACUUCAAAUCAUCAAGAAGUUAAAAUUUUAAAGAAAAACACUGGUGAAACCAAACAGACUUGGAAACCAAAAACGGUUGUUGAAUCAGGGGGACCAUCACAAUUCACCAACCAUCAAAGACAAGAAGUUAUUGUCAUUGAUGAAAAUGGAAGACCCAAGACCACAAUGGCUUGGUACCCCUCAUUGUCUCAUCCUCUCUUCACCAACCUUGCAACAAGUGUUCUUGAGCUUAGUUCAGUAACUUAAAAAUGGCCAAAAUUUCAGUUGCUUUCAAUGCUUUUCUUCUGCUUCUCUUUGUUCUUGCUAUCUCAGAAAUCGGAUCGGUGAAAGGAGAAUUAUGUGAGAAGGCAAGCCAGACAUGGUCCGGAACAUGUGGCAAGACAAAACACUGUGAUGACCAGUGCAAGUCUUGGGAGGGUGCAGCCCAUGGAGCUUGUCACGUGCGCGAUGGGAAACACAUGUGCUUCUGCUACUUCAACUGUUCCAAAGCCCAGAAGUUGGCUCAGGAUAAACUCAGAGCGGAAGAGCUCGCCAAGGAGAAGAUUGAACCCGAAAAGGCGACAGCCAAACCUUGAGUAUGUAGCAAAUGUCAUACGAUUAUGAAUAAAGAGAAAAUGCUUUCUACUUGGCAUAUUCAGCAUUUUCUUGUGUGUAAUGUUUGUUGUAUUUGGAAAUUGGAAUCAGUUGCUUCAUUAUGAUUCCAUGCAAAAUGUUCUAAUGAAAUGAUAUAUAAAUUAUGUUGUUUUGAAGCCUGUAGAAUCACAUCUCAUGUUCCUGCACAAAAUGAUAUAAUUACUCUUCUACGGACUUGUAACGCA